UACGGAGGAUGCAAGCGUUAUCCGGAAUGAUUGGGCGUAAAGCGUCCGCAGGUGGCUAUGUAAGUCUGCUGUUAAAGAGUGAGGCUCAACCUCAUAAAAGCAGUGGAAACUACAUGGCUAGAGUGCGUUCGGGGCAGAGGGAAUUCCUGGUGUAGCGGUGAAAUGCGUAGAGAUCAGGAAGAACACCGGUGGCGAAAGCGCUCUGCUAGGCCGCAACUGACACUGAGGGACGAAAGCUAGGGGAGCAAACAGG
rnacentral:rRNA from 1 species